rnacentral:rRNA from 1 species
GACGUAGGGCGCGAGCGUUGUCCGGAUUUAUUGGGCGUAAAGAGCUCGUAGGCGGUUGAGUAAGUCGGGUGUGAAAACUCUGGGCUUAACCCAGAGCCGCCACUCGAUACUGCUCUGACUUGAGUUCGGUAGGGGAGCAGGGAAUUCCUAGUGUAGCGGUGAAAUGCGCAGAUAUUAGGAGGAACACCGGUGGCGAAGGCGCUGCUCUGGGCCGAAACUGACGCUGAGGAGCGAAAGCGUGGGUAGCAAACAGG